rnacentral:lncRNA from 1 species
UUCUCAAUAAGCAACUUGGCUUAAUGCCAUGCUUCACUAUCCUCUUUUUAAUAUAACAUAGAUAUAGAUUCAGAUAUUUAACUAUGUUUAGGCAUGAAUAUUAUCACUUUAGUUUUACUUUCUCAUGUUUCAUUUUUUAAAGGUAAAAAAAGAAUAAAAUAGAGAAAAAGUAAGCUGCAAAAAGACAAAUUUAGAAUGCCAGCUUCAAAUUUACUUUACAAUUAGGUGAUAAUUAGGUAAAAGACUCAAUUUACUCAGAGCCCAACUUCUUAAUGCACGUUCUCUGAAGUUAAUUUAGGGCUCAAAUUCCCUCUCUUCCACUCACGAGUUCUUUCAGGAGAUGGAGGAAGUUAUAUAUUGACACCCUCUCUUCAUCAUCUUCUCUACAAAGGGAAAAAUUAAUGGUUCCUUCUCCGUCUAAUCUGACAGCGUGGGAUCAUUAGCCAACCAGCUUAUUGCACAAGGCAAAAGGUACAAAACAGAUAAUAACAAAGAAGAUUCGUUUUACUAUAGUUGUUAAUUCGUUUUAUUUGUUGUUUUCAUUUGUUUUACUCGUAUAGUGAUCUUCUGUACCUUCCGACCUACUCAUCUCCAACGUUGAUCGAAAGGUUUUUCUCAUAUUUGUGUUCAAUCUAGUUUACUUCUUUCUUGUAACGGGUUGUGUAUUGCUAAUUUUUUUUAUCAAUUUCUAAUAAAAUACUCUUUUUUUCAUUGUUUCAGCAAAGUGUCAUGGAGAGUGCGCCUACUUCGCUCGUGGAUGUAGAGUAUCCUUAGAUGGAUGCAGUACCAAUCACCAAACAAAUACUUAGAAUUUUUAUUAUAUUUAUUUUUUGUGGAACCGCACUAAAUUAUGCAAUGUUUGGAUUAUUGUAUUACUACUUUAGUUUGAUAUGAUUUUGGAUUUUCAAUGUUUGUUCAUAAACGUCUCAUUAGAAUUUGAUUAACGUCAUGUAAGCAUAUAAAUUAUUUAUUAAAUUUUAGUAUUUAAA